rnacentral:rRNA from 1 species
AACGAACGCUGGCGGCAGGCUUAACACAUGCAAGUCGAACGCCCCGCAAGGGGAGUGGCAGACGGGUGAGUAACGCGUGGGAAUCUACCCAGUUCUACGGAACAACUGAGGGAAACUUCAGCUAAUACCGUAUACGCCCUACGGGGGGAAGAUUUAUCGGAAUUGGAUGAGCCCGCGUUGGAUUAGCUAGUUGGUGAGGUAACGGCUCACCAAGGCGACGAUCCAUAGCUGGUCUGAGAGGAUGAUCAGCCACACUGGGACUGAGACACGGCCCAGACUCCUACGGGAGGCAGCAGUGGGGAAUAUUGGACAAUGGGCGCAAGCCUGAUCCAGCCAUGCCGCGUGAGUGAUGAAGGCCUUAGGGUUGUAAAGCUCUUUCAGUGGGGACGAUAAUGACGGUACCCACAGAAGAAGCCCCGGCUAACUUCGUGCCAGCAGCCGCAGUAACAC